GUGGAGAUGUAGCCAUCGGACAGCGCCAACUCCCCCUGUUCGCCGAGGGGAGGACCGGGGGUUGGCGGAUCCGAGGGAGACCCGUGUGCCAAGAAACCAAGACACCCGUUCAAUUUAAAAAAAUGGAAUGAGCCGGCGGGACGUCACGAUGCGCCGUCGCCAAAAAGCUCCACACGUCGCUGCACGAACGCGCUCAUUUGGCUCUCAGUCCGGAGGCACCGCUGGUUACCAGGAGCUCAUCCAAGACCCGUGCAACCCACCCACCCUUCUUCUGCGCCCGAGGAGGAAACAGUUCCUAAUUGGUCCGAAGUUGGAAAUCAUCGGAUCUUUGCCUCUUUGCUCUUUUGGACUGUGACUUUGAGGCCAGUGAUGUUCGUCUUAGACAGGACAUCUUUAACCACUAAUAUACACAAGGAAACACACCGUCCAGUGGACGAAUAAAUUGCGGUGAAUUACGGUGAUCAGUGUGGGUGUGUUGCUGGAGGGUUUUCUCAUGUGCUGCUCUGCACAGCUGCUCAGGAAACAUCUGUACUACAUUUUCAUGUAUGGCAGAGCAUAGAUCAUUCUCUCUCAAACACACUCUCAAUCAUCUAAAGUUCAAACUAAUUUUAGAUCAGAUGAUGAUAAAAUAGUUGCUGUGGGGUUCUGAACUUGUUUCGCAAUGUAUUAUUCUUUAGAGAAUCUUAUCUUAGAUCUUAAAUCAUAGCAUUUAAACUGUGUUGUAUUGUAAUUAUUUGAAUGAGCAAGAAGAUGUGGACAUUUUUAUCAGGUAAAAUUCUUGAUGUCUCAAUGUAAUGUUUCACAGUCAAUGUGACUGGUUUACAAUUUUUUUUCUGUUUGCGAUGUCAAAAUAGUCUCUUGGAAUUGAUCCAUCAACCAUAAAUUGUAUAAAAAUCAUCCUUAAUUUGACUUUUUUUUUACAUUUAACCAUCUCAUAUUAGUGUUUGUUGUGCCCUUUUCAAGGCUUUGUUUUUUAAAGCAAAUAUAUAUAUUUAAAUUUUUAGUGUACACAUUUAAUCAAUAGCACUAUUAUCCCUGCAAGAAGCGUUUUUGUGCAAUCAAAACUACAUUAUGUUAAUUUCUUUCCUCUAUGCAAAAUGUUGUUUUGCACUCUUUGUUAAAGUGUUUGCACAGUAAUUGUUUUGUUAAGUUUUCACAUUAGCAAUGUUCAGCUUGUGUGAGAGAAUCUUGAUGCUAAUAUGCACUAUAUGAGCACAAGUGCAAUAACAAAUGUGUUUAUCUGGAGGUUCAAUGAGAAACAGUUAAUUCUGUUUUGAUUUAGUCAGUAAAUGCAAAAGUAGAUUUAUUUACACAUUUAAUUUGUUAAGUCAGUUCCUCGUUUAAUGUAAUAUUAGUGAAUGAAUGGGAUUCUGUUUUGAUCCAUUGUGGAUAACUUGUGGAUAUGUGCAAUCGAUUUUAUGCAGUUUGAAGACUAUUCAGAGGGAACAAUUGAUUAUAUUAUAAUGCACUAUGGAUGACACACCAGCUGCUGUUAAUGUGCUCCAAAUCUGUACUAUGCAACAGUUUCACCUGCAGUUUAUUUGAAACAAUAAAAGUAUUCACUUUUUGAAUGAGACAAUGAAUUUGUGUGUGUAUUUUAAGUCUAAGUUUGUGUAUUAUAUGAUAAUAUUUAUGAUAUGUGAUAAUUUAAAGGAUGUAGACUCAAACAUGACAUCAUUAUUAUUU
ensembl:lncRNA